CUUGUUAAGACUUACAACCCCUCGGGUCUCUUUGCAUUUGCAAGCCAGGUGCUGAGACUGUGGCAGAACAGCUCCAGACCUUCACAGUCAGACUGCAAUGAGAAAUGUCCUUCUGCAAGACAGCAGCAAUGCCUGGGUGGACAUUUCCAAGGAGAUGUGGACUGGAAAACUCAGGGCUUCUGUGGCUGUUUGGUCUCCUACAUGAGCUCUGAAACCUUUGUCAAAGCAAGGCAAAGAUUUGGGAGCAUCUUUAGCAGCACUGGGAACACUUGUUCAAAGUAGAGUUUCAGUAUCUGCAUCUGACUUACAUGUACUAAGAGUCAUUUCACCAGAGGCUUUUUGUCUGACAGCAAGAAGAGGUCUCUCUUUCUGAAAUGAGCAGAAAAAAAUGUUUUUCAUAGAUUUCUAAAUGUAGCACUAAUUGCUGGAAGACUUACUUAUGCCAUGAAAAAUUUCUACCAAUUGCUCAUGAUAGGUUUUAAGAUAUCCAAUAGAUGAUGAAGAUGAUAAAAAUAAUUGCAGCAUAGCUUCUUGGAAUAAAAGUAUUGUUUUUCUUAUUUUAGCUAAGAGACCAAAUAGAUGAGUAGAAUAGAAAAGACCAAAAUGAUGAGUACAUUUAUGACAGAAGCAGAUGUGCUGCAGCCUUCUCCAUUCAUAGAAGCUGUUUGAUUCUGGUGACAAUUAAAAGCUUGUUUAUCGAGAUUCACCCCCAGUUAAAAUAUUCAGUCUAAUCAUGUUAGGCUUAAAGCUCAUGUUCUUUCCAGAACAAACUCUUUUUCUUUUUUUUCAGGUGGGAAACUAAUUACAGCAUGGGCUGAAAAAGAUAUGUUUUCCUUUUGGCCACAGUUUCCCCAAAAUAGGUGUAUAUACUCUAAUGCUUCUGAAAUUUUCCAUUUCUCUGUUGUUCAUAAAAGGAUUAAUUAUUCUCCUGUUGAUUAUUCUGAAGACGAUGGUGGCAACAUUGAAGUAUUUUAGA